GGCCGGUUAGCUCAGUUGGUUAGAGCGUCGUGCUAAUAGCGCGAAUGUCGUGGGUUCGAUCCCCAUACUGGCCA
rnacentral:tRNA from 1 species